rnacentral:tRNA from 1 species
GCCUGGGUGGCUUAGUCGGUUAAGCAUCCGACUUCGGCUCAGGUCAUGAUCUUACAGUUCGGUUCAUGGGUUUGAGCCCCACUUUGGGCU